rnacentral:lncRNA from 1 species
GUACUCCUUCUUCACUUUGAUAUCAACAUUGACACUUGGAGGGUCUUCACUUUCAUCAACAAUGUUCCAAAGGUCCAAUGAAGCCAAUAAAAGCUCUAUUUUCUUCUUCCAAUGGUAAAAGUUGUCACCCCUAAACUUCUCAAUCACUCUCAAGCUCUCACCUUCACUUAAAGCCAUGUCUAAGGAAGUGAUGUAUGAAAGAAAAUCAAAAAAAGAAGAUAUAGAACUCUCAAAAUCAAUAAGAAGGUGUUGCUGCCUUAGAAACCUAGAAUGUCUUCUUUGUAAGUAAAUAAGUGAUUUCACUCUUGUAUCACUCUCAACUUCACAUAUAAGACUUCUCACAAGUCUCAUAUUCUAUCUGAACCUCUUAUAUAAGCUUUGCCACUCUUCAAUCAUCCCUCUUUUUUCACAAAAUACUUCUGACCUC